UUCGACUAAGGUUCGAUUCGAGCGAAAGCGAGAAAGCGUUGCCGUAGGCAACGACCCGAAGGGCGAAGCGCGCAGCGCUGAGUCAUCCUACCCCCACCACCA
rnacentral:sRNA from 1 species